rnacentral:rRNA from 1 species
UACGUAGGGACCAAGCGUUGUUCGGAUUUACUGGGCGUAAAGGGCGCGUAGGCGGCAAUUCAAGUCAUCUGUGAAAUCUCCGGGCUUAACCCGGAACGGUCAGGUGAUACUGUUUUGCUAGAGUACGGAAGGGGCAAUCGGAAUUCUCGGUGUAGCGGUGAAAUGCGUAGAUAUCGAGAGGAACACCAGAGGUGAAGACGGGUUGCUGGGCCGACACUGACGCUGACAGCGCGAAAGCCAGGGGAGCAAACGGG